rnacentral:rRNA from 1 species
CGUGGGGAACCUGCCCCAUAGUCUGGGAUACCACUUGGAAACAGGUGCUAAUACCGGAUAAGAAAGCAGAUCGCAUGAUCAGCUUUUAAAAGGCGGCGUAAGCUGUCGCUAUGGGAUGGCCCCGCGGUGCAUUAGCUAGUUGGUAAGGUAAAGGCUUACCAAGGCGAUGAUGCAUAGCCGAGUUGAGAGACUGAUCGGCCACAUUGGGACUGGGACACGGCCCAAACUCCUACGGGAGGCAGCAGUC